UUUUUUGGUCCUAGCAGCCCACAGAUGGAGUAGCAGUUUCCAGUCUGUUGAAGUUCUUUGCUUCCGUGACCGUACCAUGCAGGGGGCGAGAGACGUUGCCCACAGCAUCAUCUUCGAAGUGAAGCUUCCAGAAAUGGCAUUUAGCCCAGAUUGUCCUAAAGCAGUUGGAUGGGAAAAGAACCAGAAAGGAGGCAUGGGACCAAGGAUGGUGAACCUCAGUGAAUGUAUGGACCCUAAAAGGUUAGCUGAGUCAUCAGUGGAUCUAAAUCUCAAACUGAUGUGUUGGAGAUUGGUUCCUACUUUAGACUUGGAGAAGGUUGUGUCUGUCAAGUGUCUGCUGCUUGGAGCUGGCACCUUGGGUUGCAAUGUAGCUAGGACGUUGAUGAUUAGCCAUUUAAACUGUGUAGCAUUCCAGGAAACCAAAAGGUUGGGGCGUGAGACACAUCACAUUUGUGGACAAUGCCAAGAUCUCCUACUCCAAUCCUGUGAGGCAGCCUCUCUAUGAGUUUGAAGAUUGCCU
rnacentral:sRNA from 1 species